GCAACCUACGGGGCGCAGCAGUGGGGAAUAUUGCACAAUGGGGGAAACCCUGAUGCAGCGACGCCGCGUGAGUGAAGAAGUAUUUCGGUAUGUAAAGCUCUAUCAGCAGGGAAGAAAAUGACGGUACCUGACUAAGAAGCCCCGGCUAACUACGUGCCAGCAGCCGCGGUAAUACGUAGGGGGCAAGCGUUAUCCGGAUUUACUGGGUGUAAAGGGAGCGUAGACGGCGAUGCAAGUCUGAAGUGAAAGCCCGGGGCUCAACCCCGGGACUGCUUUGGAAACUGUAUGGCUGG
rnacentral:rRNA from 1 species